ensembl:snRNA U7 U7 small nuclear RNA
AAAAAUUUGCCCUUUGAGUAUUUCUCCAGUAGGUUUCCUCAAGGAGAAAGCCCCA